CCAGAGCCACCAGAAGGGAAGAGAGCAAAAGCCUCUCCUCCCUUCUUCUUUAUACCCCUGGCUUAUGUAAAAAUCAUAGGGAAUACUGGGUAAUAUGGCCACUUCCUUGGUUACAAACUGGUCACCAAGGAAGGCCUAGAAUAAAACUACCACAACUUCCUAUUUCUACUUUAUUCUCCCCCUUCAAUACAGCUUUCUCUAGGUACAAAAUCUGAGUGUGACCACUCUUAUGAAAAUUCUGGUUUUGCCUGGGGAAAGGAGGAUGUCUGUGUUGCGUCGUGAUCCAUUGGGGAACUAUGGAUGACAGGUACUGGAAGCUGAACUUCCACAGUGUAAACCAUGAAGAAUAUGCAUCAACCUUGACUUGCAGCACCACUUCAAAAGACCAAGAAACUGCUGCAGAGGGACCUGAGAGCCAGCUGUAGAGGCCAACAGAGUCUAUAAUGCUUUCGGAUAAUAACCAGACUAUAGCUCCACAAUUCCAACAAAGAAACACAAGCAGUAUGGAUGUACAAUUUUGCCACAGAGCAUUUGCAGGAGAAAUGAUGCUGGUUGCUUAAAGAGCCUACUGGUUAUGAACUCCAAACCUUGCAGAGCAGAGAGAAGAACCUUGUGUUAAUGGACCAGACCUAUCACCUCCUAAGGCAUGAGAAGUAAAUGAAAAUGUAGCUAAUGAGUUCGUUACUGUGUCUGUGAGUAGGUCAAUGUGAAAAACAGCAAGGAUGGUAGAAUAUGCUGCAGUGACAAGUCAUGAACACUGCCCACACAUGAUGUUUCCGAAUUUGACUGAGUCCAGAGAAUGCAUUCACAAGUCUGAUUAAUUUUCAGA